AGCGGCGGACGGGUGAGUAACACGUAGGCAACCUGCCCCUUGGACUGGGAUAACUACCGGAAACGGUAGCUAAUACCGGAUAAUUCCUCUUAGUUCCUGCUAAGAGGCUGAAAGGCGGAGCAAUCUGUCACCAAGGGAUGGGCCUGCGGCGCAUUAGCUAGUUGGUGGGGUAACGGCUCACCAAGGCGACGAUGCGUAGCCGACCUGAGAGGGUGAACGGCCACACUGGGACUGAGACACGGCCCAGACUCCUACGGGAGGCAGCAGUAGGGAAUCUUCCGCAAUGGGCGAAAGCCUGACGGAGCAACGCCGCGUGAGUGAUGAAGGUUUUCGGAUCGUAAAGCUCUGUUGCCAGGGAAGAACGUCCUUAAGAGUAACUGCUUAAAAAGUGACGGUACCUGAGAAGAAAGCCCCGGCUAACUACGUGCCAGCAGCCGCGGUAAUACGUAGGGGGCAAGCGUUGUCCGGAAUUAUUGGGCGUAAAGCGCGCGCAGGCGGCUGUUUAAGUCUGGUGUUUAAACCAUGGGCUCAACCUGUGGUCGCACUGGAAACUGGGCAGCUUGAGUGCAGAAGAGGAAAGUGGAAUUCCACGUGUAGCGGUGAAAUGCGUAGAGAUGUGGAGGAACACCAGUGGCGAAGGCGACUUUCUGGGCUGUAACUGACGCUGAGGCGCGAAAGCGUGGGGAGCAAACAUGAUUAGAUACCCUGGUAGUCCACGCCGUAAACGAUGAGUGCUAGGUGU
rnacentral:rRNA from 1 species